CCUACGGGAGGCAGCAGUGGGGAAUAUUGCGCAAUGGGCGAAAGCCUGACGCAGCGACGCCGCGUGAGGGAUGAAGGUCUUCGGAUCGUAAACCUCUGUCAGCAGGGAAGAACGGUCACUGUGUUAAUCAGCAGUGAAUUGACGGUACCUGCAAAGGAAGCACCGGCUAACUCCGUGCCAGCCGCCGCGGUAAUACGGAGGGUGCGAGCGUUAAUCGGAAUUACUGGGCGUAAAGCGCUCGUAGGCGGUAUGUCAAGUCAAGGGUGAAAUCCCCGCGCUCAACGUGGGAACUGCCUUUGAAACUGGCAAACUGGAGUGUGUGAGAGGAUAGUGGAAUUCCAGGUGUAGGAGUGAAAUCCGUAGAUAUCUGGAGGAACAUCAGUGGCGAAGGCGACUAUCUGGCACAUAACUGACGCUGAGGAGCGAAAGCGUGGGUAGCAAACAGGAUUAGAUACCCCAGUAGUC
rnacentral:rRNA from 1 species